CGAAAGCCUGACGGAGCAAGACCGCGUGAGGGAGGAAGGCUCUUGGGUUGUAAACCUCUUUUCUCAGGGAAGAAGCUCUGACGGUACCUGAGGAAUCAGCCUCGGCUAACUCCGUGCCAGCAGCCGCGGUAAUACGGAGGAGGCAAGCGUUAUCCGGAAUUAUUGGGCGUAAAGCGUCCGCAGGUGGCGAUUCAAGUCUGCUGUCAAAGCACGGGGCUUAACUCCGUUAAGGCAGUGGAAACUGAAUGGCUAGAGUGCCGUAGGGGUAGAGGGAAUUCCCGGUGUAGCGGUGAAAUGCGUAGAGAUCGGGAAGAACAUCGGUGGCGAAAGCGCUCUACUGGACGGCAACUGACGCUGAUUUACGAAAGCCAGGGUAGUC
rnacentral:rRNA from 1 species